CAAAAAAUUUCCUCUUCUGAAGCCUCUUUUGUCUUUCUGCAUUUCUUCGACAUAUAAGAUUUUAUAAGGAAACAUAUUUGUUUCAUGUAAAAUUUACUUACAAAUCCCCGGUUGUAUUCAUUAAUUCAUCAAAACCCUUAAAGAUAAGAUUACAUUAAAAAUGGAAUUAAAGUUAUAAUUUGAGAAUAAUAUAUUAUAAAAUUAAAAAAGAAUGUAAAGACUAAAGAGCAUCUGUUGGGGUAUUUCCUAUAUAAACCACACCUCCUGAUUUUCCUCCUUCGCAUCAAAGAGGCUUUUAUUUCUCCAACCAAUACCUCUUUUUCUAGGCGGGCUCAAACAAAAAGUUGUAACUUAACAUAUUCACCAACAUCAACAAUGGCCAUUCCAAAGACAAUCAUUCUGCAAAUCGAUCAGUUUUGUAAUUGUGAGGGAUGCAUACAAAAGGUGAAGAAUACGUUUUGUGAACUUGGUGGUGUCAAAUUGUUAGAAAUGAACCCUGAGAUAGGUAAAUUCAUCAUCUCAACUACUAAACACUCAGAUGUGAUCAAAUACGCUUUAGAGCGCACAUUUUCAAAGAAAAAAGUCAUUCUCUUUGAAAACCCUAAGCAUCCAUGUCAACCUCCUAUCCAUAACCACCAAAAUGUGAUCAUUAAUCAUAACCAUAUUCAUCAAGUACCUCCUUCGAUUACUACCAAUGCAUAUGAUGUGGCUAAAGUGUUGGCGACAACAACUCAUGCUAAAGGACUACAAAGUGUGGAGAUCACACAUAUGAAGCUCAACUUCAACAACUUUGAAAACCGACCAAGUGUUAGAUCAAGACAUGCAAUCAACAAUGUUACUCCACCAUUGAAACCGAAACAUACAAGACAUGCAUGCAUCACCUCUACAAAUAAUUGCAAUGGCAUCACCUCCACAACAACCAUCUCGACUAAGGAAUGACAAGCAUUACUUUGACAAGGUGGGAAUACCAAGCCAUGAACUUCAUCAGUCCCACAACUCAAAAUACAUCAAGUUCAUGAGAAUUCUCUCAAAGAGUUUCUAUAAUAUCUUUAAGAAUAAAUAUAGUGUUUGGGUUUCCUUUUAUCAUGUAUUAUAGCUUUGAUUUCUAUUUAUUUUAUCUUAUUGUUCUUAUACUUGUGAUUUGGGAAGGAUGCAUAAAGGAUGUAAGCUUCUAAAUAUAUUUU